AUUGAACGCUGGCGGCAUGCCUUACACAUGCAAGUCGAACGGUAACAGGUCUUCGGAUGCUGACGAGUGGCGAACGGGUGAGUAAUACAUCGGAACGUGCCCGAGAGUGGGGGAUAACGAGGCGAAAGCUUUGCUAAUACCGCAUACGAUCGCAGGAUGAAAGCAGGGGACCGCAAGGCCUUGCGCUCACGGAGCGGCCGAUGGCAGAUUAGGUAGUUGGUGGGAUAAAAGCUUACCAAGCCGACGAUCUGUAGCUGGUCUGAGAGGACGACCAGCCACACUGGGACUGAGACACGGCCCAGACUCCUACGGGAGGCAGCAGUGGGGAAUUUUGGACAAUGGGCGCAAGCCUGAUCCAGCCAUGCCGCGUGCAGGAUGAAGGCCUUCGGGUUGUAAACUGCUUUUGUACGGAACGAAAAGACUCUGGUUAAUACCUGGGGUCCAUGACGGUACCGUAAGAAUAAGCACCGGUUAACUACGUGCCAGCCGCCGCAGUAAGAC
rnacentral:rRNA from 1 species